rnacentral:lncRNA from 1 species
AAGGGGGGAAGGAAUUUGAUUCUUUACAGCCCUUUCCAUACCUUAUAUUAUUUCCUUCGGUUGGGUUCGCUUUUUGGUAGGAAAGGCGGUAGUAGAGUUGCUAGAGGUCUUUCGCGUAAUUCUACUCUUUGUUUUCCAAGCAGGGACGCCCACAGUUCCCUGCUCUAACUCCUCAGAUUUCCCUUUGCUUUCUUUAUUACUUAUCGCACGUGCCCAGUCUCUACGUCACUUCCCAAACCUAAACCGCCUUUCCCAGAUCUAUGAAAGGUGAAACUUUGAAGGUCCACAACAGGUAACAUAAAUGAACAAGUUUAUUUUGUAUUCGAGCUGCUGAGGGCCGGAGCUCUUAUGGAUACAUUACUUCAUUGUUCUAUAAGGCGUUGCACUAAGUCCAUACUUGGAUAGGGUCGCGAAGUACAAAGAUCCGGUCUUUGACAACCGUCGCAUUAGUUUCAAUUAAUAUGUUACUACUAUGGAGAGACUAAGCUCUAUUUCAGAGAUUGGACUCUCUUACUGUGAUUAGCCCCCACUAGUAAGAAGUUGUUCCCGAGCCAGGUUCCCUGGAUCCACGUGUUCCUAGUCGGGCCUAAAUGGAUGAAUGAAGUAGGGGGCGGACAUCACUAUAAAGAAAGAAGCCCGUCCACACACACCUCUUUUUAGCCGACUAGAGCCGGAUCCACUACACGGCUAGAAUCAGAGAAAGAUUGAGAAAUAAAUUAAGCAAGUCAUAUUAUGCUUUAGUUCCAUAAGAAAGCCUGCAAGCGGUCUAACCAGUGCUCAAGUAAAGAAGGAGUGAAUUUAUCUACUGAACUUUAAGAAGGUAUCUAAGAACCCUUUUAUUUUCCCAGAGUCUCGUCCAUGAGCUGCGGAUAUGAGAGGUCUUUCUAUCUACGACUCACUCUUGGUCUCGAAAAAAAAUUCAAUUAAUUUGACUUGGUUCACUCCGUCCGUAGACUCUAUCGACCCUGGAAUUGGCAGACGUACAAGCACCGGUCUGGUACUCUUCGCGUGGCUUGGUAAGCGAGAACUUCCGGAAUGCAAGGCAUAUCUAGCUUUCACUCAACUAUAUGAUACUAGUUGGUAUCAGCACAUGAAGGCUAUAGCAAAAACUCUUAUUCGUCAUCAACAUGAUAGGACCAGAGCUUCUAUUUACUCAAAAGCUCUUAAUGUAACAGAAAAGACUGGCACCUCUUGCUUAUUCAAGACC